UUCGCAAUGCCCGAAAGGGUGACGAAGCGACGCCGCGUGUGGGAAGAAGGCCUUCGGGUUGUAAACCACUGUCGGGAGUUAAGAAAUGCAAGGGUGUUAAUAGCGCCCUUGCUUGACUAAGGCUCCGGAGGAAGCCACGGCUAACUCUGUGCCAGCAGCCGCGGUAAUACAGAGGCGGCAAGCGUUGCUCGGAAUUAUUGGGCGUAAAGAGCACGUAGGCGGCCUUGUAAGUCAGUUGUGAAAGCCUUCUGCUCAACGGAAGAACAGCAUCUGAUACUGCAAGGCUAGAGUGCGGAAGGGGAGAGUGGAACUUCUGGUGGAGCGGUGAAAUGCGUAGAUAUCAGAAGGAACGCCGGCGGCGAAAGCGGCUCUCUGGCCCGUAACUGACGCUGAGUGUGCGAAAGCUAGGGGAGCAAACGGGAUUAGAUACCCCGGUAGUCCUAGCCGUAAACGAUGGGCACUAAGUAGAGGGGUUUU
rnacentral:rRNA from 1 species